UGUCAGAAACUCAGCUCAGCUGGAAGAAACUUGAUGUACCAGGUAUCAGAGUAGCAAGUAAAGCCACAAGCCAAAAAUGAAAGAGAAUCUUUUAAGUGCUUAUCGUGAUGGUGUAAGUAAUUGUCCAAAAGAAACGCCGAUUCCUUCUGUUCCAUUUUUACCUGUGGAUUGUGGAUUGAAAUAACCAUUGGACCAUGAGGAGAGACUCUGAAGAGAGGUAUGUGACAGAGUGGGGCCUAGGGGUGGCUAGUGAUAUGUGAUAUAAUACUCUUUUGUGACGUUGGACCAUGGCAGUGAGCCGCAGCUCCCAGUCAGCAAUGCGAUCCCAAGAAUAAACAACCGAUUCUUGACAGUGUCCUAUGUUGCCAGUCGAUUUUGUUCAACAGUAGGUACA
rnacentral:lncRNA from 1 species